rnacentral:rRNA from 1 species
GAUCCUGGCUCAGGAUGAACGCUAGCGACAGGCUUAACACAUGCAAGUCGAGGGGCAGCGGGGGGUAGCGAUACCCGCCGGCGACCGGCGCACGGGUGAGUAACGCGUAUGCAACUUGCCUAUCGGAGGGGGAUAACCCGGCGAAAGUCGGACUAAUACCGCAUGAAGCAGGGAUCCCGCAUGGGAAUAUUUGCUAAAGAUUCAUCGCUGAUAGAUAGGCAUGCGUUCCAUUAGGCAG